GUUAGCCGUUGCGACGUAGAAUUCACCAAGCGUUCAUUGUUUACUAACUCACAGGGAACGUGAGCUGGGAUUAGACCGUCGUGAGACAGGUU
rnacentral:ncRNA from 1 species